UGGUGAUUCAGUAAAAAUCUGAUAUUGGACUUUAUCUUUGUCCUUGGGUUUUGAAAGCCUGAAGAGCCAAAUGGCCUCUUCGAUACCAUUUCUGGCAUUCCCGAAGUAUGUGCAAUCACAUGAUUAUGCAAGUCUUAGGAUGGGUUCCCCGCAAAGCUGACCCUGAGAAAAGGAUGUGAGUAUGAGUUAUUUGUGAGAUUUCUUCCACCGGUUGUGAUUUUGUCCCAGGAGAAUGUGUGCACACGGUGGCCACCAGAGGGAGCCCUUCAGCGACAGAGGAUGAGAGCUGCAGGAUGGUCAGAGGAAACCCAAUCCACAUUGGAACAAGGCUUCUUAAGACAUGGAUGUAAUUUGGUGGUGCGGAAAAAUCAGAGUGUUCAAAACAAUGAUGAUGUAAAAGGCUGAACCAAAAAUAACAACUGAUCUUACAUACACCAUUCCUCUGCUGCAUUGGUAUAUCACAGCUGUGAUCUCCACAAGAGGAUAGGGUUCAGGAGGAGGACUUGAAAAAAGAUCGUCUCAGGGUUGUGAAAGAAGAUACAAUCAGCAAGCCUCUGAGAAAUCACAGCUGAUGACUAAGUCCACAGUCUGCUCAUAAAAUGUAGAGUUAUAGCUCUUGCUCUCACCACUGUCUCUGAUGAGUCUGAAGAAUUGUGAAUCACUAAAAGUCUCUACUUCUUUAAAUGUCUAGAAAGACUGUUCAAAUCACCUGGAAAGCUUGCACUUUUUUUUUUUAAUCUAGAAGACAAUAAAAAGUUGCAACAUCCUCUCUCAGAUCAGACCCAUCUGUUCCUUUACUCAUUCAUUCAACUCUUAUAUAUUAAUUCACUGACUUUUAGGUACCGGGAAUAAUUUCUGAGAG
rnacentral:lncRNA from 10 species